GAAAUCAUAAAACCAUUAAUAGUGGUAAUAUGAUAACGUAAGGAAAAAAAAUGAUAUUACCUUACUAUUAGUGUUGUCCAAAGCUGGUGCCAGAAGACUCGGUAAGACCAGAGACGCAAACGUUAAUCGUCCUAAUCAGGCGUAAAGGGUAUGUAGGCUGCUUUUAAAGUUUUAUUUAAAAUAGCUCUACUUUUACAUCUUUUUUUUUCCUGCUCUACAUUUUAAUCUUUUAAUUAUAAUUAUAAAUUUAAACAAAUUUAAAUUAAAAAAGAUCCAAGAUUGAGCUAAGAAAAGAAAAUAUUUUUAAUAGAUAAAAUAAAAUGAUUAAAAGCUAGGAUCAUAAAGAGGAUAAACCAAAUAAUACUUAGUGUAGGGUUGAUAUCUGUAGAUACUAAGGGGAAUACUAACGGUGAAAGCUUUUUAUCUAAUAAUGAUUGACGCUGAGAAACGAAGGUGAGAAUAGGAAAUAGGAUUAGAUACCCAGAUACCUCUCACUGUAAACGAUGAAUGGUGGUUGUUAGUAAUAAUAAAACUGAUAACGAUGUUAACACGAUAACCAUUCCGCCUUGCGAGUACGGUUGCAAAACUGAAACCAAAAAAAUUAGUCGGUCUCGAAGCAAACGAAGUGAAGCAUGUUAUUUA
rnacentral:rRNA from 1 species